rnacentral:rRNA from 1 species
GGGGGGGGGGGGAGCCUAUACAUGCAAGUCGAACGCUUCUUUUUCCACCGGAGCUUGCUCCACCGGAAAAAGAGGAGUGGCGAACGGGUGAGUAACACGUGGGUAACCUGCCCAUCAGAAGGGGAUAACACUUGGAAACAGGUGCUAAUACCGUAUAACAAUCGAAACCGCAUGGUUUUGAUUUGAAAGGCGCUUUCGGGUGUCGCUGAUGGAUGGACCCGCGGUGCAUUAGCUAGUUGGUGAGGUAACGGCUCACCAAGGCCACGAUGCAUAGCCGACCUGAGAGGGUGAUCGGCCACAUUGGGACUGAGACACGGCCCAAACUCCUACGGGAGGCAGCAGUAGGGAAUCUUCGGCAAUGGACGAAAGUCUGACCGAGCAACGCCGCGUGAGUGAAGAAGGUUUUCGGAUCGUAAAACUCUGUUGUUAGAGAAGAACAAGGAUGAGAGUAACUGUUCAUCCCUUGACGGUAUCUAACCAGAAAGCCACGGCUAACUACGUGCCAGCAGCCGCGGUAAUACGUAGGUGGCAAGCGUUGUCCGGAUUUAUUGGGCGUAAAGCGAGCGCAGGCGGUUUCUUAAGUCUGAUGUGAAAGCCCCCGGCUCAACCGGGGAGGGUCAUUGGAAACUGGGAGACUUGAGUGCAGAAGAGGAGAGUGGAAUUCCAUGUGUAGCGGUGAAAUGCGUAGAUAUAUGGAGGAACACCAGUGGCGAAGGCGGCUCUCUGGUCUGUAACUGACGCUGAGGCUCGAAAGCGUGGGGAGCAAACAGGAUUAGAUACCCUGGUAGUCCACGCCGUAAACGAUGAGUGCUAAGUGUUGGAGGGUUUCCGCCCUUCAGUGCUGCAGCUAACGCAUUAAGCACUCCGCCUGGGGAGUACGACCGCAAGGUUGAAACUCAAAGGAAUUGACGGGGGCCCGCACAAGCGGUGGAGCAUGUGGUUUAAUUCGAAGCAACGCGAAGAACCUUACCAGGUCUUGACAUCCUUUGACCACUCUAGAGAUAGAGCUUCCCCUUCGGGGGCAAAGUGACAGGUGGUGCAUGGUUGUCGUCAGCUCGUGUCGUGAGAUGUUGGGUUAAGUCCCGCAACGAGCGCAACCCUUAUUGUUAGUUGCCAUCAUUCAGUUGGGCACUCUAGCAAGACUGCCGGUGACAAACCGGAGGAAGGUGGGGAUGACGUCAAAUCAUCAUGCCCCUUAUGACCUGGGCUACACACGUGCUACAAUGGGAAGUACAACGAGUCGCGAAGUCGCGAGGCUAAGCUAAUCUCUUAAAGCUUCUCUCAGUUCGGAUUGCAGGCUGCAACUCGCCUGCAUGAAGCCGGAAUCGCUAGUAAUCGCGGAUCAGCACGCCGCGGUGAAUACGUUCCCGGGCCUUGUACACACCGCCCGUCACACCACGAGAGUUUGUAACACCCGAAGUCGGUGAGGUAACCUUUUGGAGCCAGCCGCCUAAGGGGAUUGU